rnacentral:rRNA from 1 species
AUGGCAACCUUCAAGAUGAAUCUUGGUCCCUUGUUUUUGGCGGCUCUCAUGGUCCUGGCUACUAUUGUGUCCCCAUGCCAUGCGAACAAUGAGAUACAUGCAGAUGCAGUACGAGUACCUGCAAGUUGCUAUCCUAUGAAGUUUCCUAAAUGCACUGAAAAGGCAUGCUACAAGUAUUGCAUAAACCCUGGAGGCCACUGCAAAGAUGUUGAUUAUUGUUGUUGCCCUAUCGACUAA